CAGUAGCCGCGGGAAUACGGAAGGUCCAGGCGUUAUCCGGAUUUAUUGGGUUUAAAGGGAGCGUAGGCUGUUGGUUAAGCGUGUUGUGAAAUGUAGAUGCUCAACAUCUGAAUUGCAGCGCGAACUGUCCGACUUGAGUGCGCGGAAAGCAGGCGGAAUUCGUUGUGUAGCGGUGAAAUGCUUAGAUAUGACGAAGAACUCCGAUUGCGAAGGCAGCUUGCUGUAGCGUAACUGACGCUGAAGCUCGAAAGUGCGGGUAUCGAACAGGAUUAGAUACCCCUGUAGUCCCUGUCUCUUAUAC
rnacentral:rRNA from 1 species